CAGCUUCCAGCUUGCAGUUUUUUGGGCUCGUGUCAAAUUCAAUGUUUAACUAUUUCACAUUCAUCUACAACCAAAGAAAAGUAUCUAAAAAUACAAGUACCUAAGAUUCUUUUAAACCAUGUGCUUUAACUACAAGGACAGCACUAACCUAAGUGUUGCAGACGGCAUACCUCUUCUCCUCCAGCAAUCUGCACAGCUCAAGGAGCUUCAGAACUCAGAGCAGAGGCAGUCAGCAGAGGCGGAUUGGCGGAAGGGGAAAAAAAGGGGGGCAGCUUCAGACUUCAGAACAGAGAGGCAGUUUGGGCGAUUUUGAAGAGGGGUUAGGGUUUUUUUAUUUUAAUCUUACAUGAAACGACGUCGUUUCAUGUAAGAUUAAAAAAAAAAAAAAACUAGCUGCUGCUGUGCUGCAGAAGAAGAAAGGAAGAAGAAGGUGGGCGACUGCAGAAGAACUGAAGAAGAAAACUGUGCUGCAAAAAAACUCACCUGGGCUACAGCCCAUACGUGG
rnacentral:lncRNA from 1 species